GAGUGGACGCAUCACUGGUGUUCGGGUUGUCAUGCCAAUGGCACUGCCCGGUAGCUAAAUGCGGAAGAGAUAAGUGCUGAAAGCAUCUAAGCACGAAACUUGCCCCGAGAUGAGUUCUCCCUGACUCCUUGAGAGUCCUGAAGGAACGUUGAAGACGACGACGUUGAUAGGCCGGGUGUGUAAGCGCAGCGAUGCGUUGAGCUAACCGGUACUAAUGAACCGUGAGGCUUAACCUU
rnacentral:rRNA from 1 species